rnacentral:rRNA from 1 species
AGAUUGAACGCUGGCGGCAUGCCUUACACAUGCAAGUCGAACGGUAGAGUAGCAAUACUUGAGAGUGGCGAACGGGUGAGUAAUAUAUCGGAACGUGCCCAGUCGUGGGGGAUAACGUAGAGAAAUUUACGCUAAUACCGCAUACGAUCUAAGGAUGAAAGCGGGGGACCGUAAGGCCUCGCGCGAUUGGAGCGGCUGAUAUCAGAUUAGGUUGUUGGUGAGGUAAAAGCGUCACCAAGCCGACGAUCUGUAGCUGGUUUGAGAGAACGACCAGCCACACUGGGACUGAGACACGGCCCAGACUCCUACGGGAGGCAGCAGUGGGGAAUUUUGGACAAUGGGCGAAAGCCUGAUCCAGCAAUGCCGCGUGCAGGAAGAGGCCUUCGGUGUAACUGCUUUGUACGGAACGAAACGGUCUGCCUUAAUACAGUGGCUAAGUGACGGUACGUAAGAAUAAGCACGCUAACUACGUGCCAGCAGCCGCGGUAA